rnacentral:RNase_P_RNA from 1 species
GGAGUUGGCCAGGCAAUCGCUGUUCGACCAUUUUUGUGGUCGGGUGGAGGAAAGUCCGGGCUCCACAGGGCAGGGUGCCAGGUAACACCUGGGCGGUGAGAACCGACGGCCAGUGCAACAGAAAGAUACCGCCUGUAAGCGGGUACGUGUGCCCGUUUAGAGGUAAGGGUGAAAUGGUGCGGUAAGAGCGCACCGCGUGGCUGGUAACAGCAACGGCAUGGUAAACCCCACUCGGAGCAAGACCAAAUAGGGGAACGUAUGGCGCGGCCCGCGUUGUUCCCGGGUAGGUUGCAUGAGGUGUGUGGCGACGCACAUCCCAGAUGAAUGAUUGUCCACGACAGAACCCGGCUUAUCGGCCGGCUCCCACU